UCCAGCUACACAACGAGAUGAGGAUGGUCAUUGUCAAUUUCUGAGCUGCGAACGGGCAUACAGCUACACAACGAGAUGAGGAUGGUCAUUGUCAAUUUCUGAGCUGCAAACGGGCAUAAAGGAAUUCACGAUGGUCACUGUCCAAGUUGCAGGUGUGAAUAGUGGGAAAGAUGGUCACUGUCCAAGUUGCAGGUGAGAAUAGUCGGAAAGGAAUUCACGAUGGUCACUGUCCAAGUUGCAGGUGUGAAUAGUUGGAAAGGAAUUCACGAUGGUCACUGUCCAAGUUGCAGGUGUGAAUAGUGGGAAAGGAAUUCACGAUGGUCACUGUUCAAGUUGCAGGUGUGAAUAGUCGGAAAGGAAUUUACGAUGGUCACUGUCCAUGUUGCCGCUGUGAAUAGUCGGAAAGCUUGUGUGCGUACAUUGUCACAGAGACUGCAAGGACCGAGCAGUUCAAGCACCAGUGCAACUUGUGACAUGACGAAGUGCUGGUGAUGCAGAACGCGGAGUACAGUGCUACCAGUGAUUGGUCAGUGCUGCUGAUGCAGAACGCAGAGUACAGCGGGACCAGUGAUUGGUCAGUGCUGCUGAUGCAGAACGCAGAGUACAGCGGGACCAGUGAUUGGUCAGUGCUGGUGAUGCAGAACGCAGAGUACAGCGGGACCAGUGAUUGGUCAGUGCUGCUGAUGCAGAACGCGGAGUACAGCGGGACCAGUGAUUGGUCAGUGCUGCUGAUGCAGAACGCAGAGUACAGCGGGACCAGUGAUUGGUCAGUGCUGCUGAUGCAGAACGCAGAGUACAGCGGGACCAGUGAUUGGUCAGUACUGCUGAUGCAGAACGCGGAGUACAGCGGGACCAGUGAUUGGUCAGUACUGCUGAUGCAGAACGCAGAGU